rnacentral:lncRNA from 1 species
AAUCGCGAGCACCCUGAGAUGGGCACCACUAUUCACACUGUAGUUCAAAUUUCUUUGUGAUUUUUUUUUUUUAGGCUUAUCCAGAUCCACCAAUGGGACGGGGAGAAGAGCAGGCGGUGGGCGGGGUCGCUGGGAGGGGAGGAGAGGGCACCUUGGGGAGAAACCUUGGUGCGGGGGGGAUUGGGGGGUGAGGGGGCAACAGGGCGUUGGGUGAUUUUGAAAAGGUCUCUAGAGAAGGGCCACGUUAAAGAAGGGAGGAGGGCUCCCCGAAACUAGCUGCCCUGGCAGGGCAGGCUGACCCGCGCCUGGGAGGAGCCCCGCGUCCUGUUGCGCCUGCCCGGGUCUGGCUGCGUGUGCGUCGGGAGUCGAGCCGCGGUGCCGCACCAGGAAGUGACUCUCCCCUGCGGCAGCGAUCCAGGCCGCCCGCUGGCUUUUUCGUGUGCCGCCUCAGAUUUAUUUGACAGAGAGAGACACAGCGAGAGAGAGAACACAAGCAGGGGGAGUGGAAGAGGGAGAAGCAGGCUUUCCUCUGAGGAGGGAGCCCAGUGAGGGGAGCUGGAUCCCAGGACCCUGAGAUCAUGACCUGAGCCGAAGGCAGAUGCAUAACGGACUGAGCCAGCAGGUGUCCGAGCUCAGGUGUCCGAGCUCGUUUAAUUUUAGCACAACCCUGAAAGAGAGAGAGAGUGAGCACACAAGCAGGGGGAGCAGCAGGCAAAGUGAGCUGAAGGCAGAUGCCCAACUGAUUGAGACACCCAGGCACCCCAUGGGCUUCUCUUUUUCUGCCUCAUUGUAAGUAUAUAUAAAUGUAACUGACUUCUGUGCAUUGAUUUUUUUAAAAGACUAUUUAUUUGUUUAUUUGAGAGACAGAGUGAGCCAUAGAGAGAGAGAGCGCGCAAGUACACAAGCUGGUGGUAGGGCAGUGGGAGAGGCAGAGGCCGGCUUCCCGCUGAGCAGGGAACCAGACAUGGUCCAAUUCCAGGACCCUGGGAUCAUGACCUGAGCCAAAAGCAGAUGCGUAAACGACUGAGCCAUCCAGGCACCCCUGUG